UUACGCACUCCUACGGGAGGCAGCAGUGGGGAAUAUUGCACAAUGGGCGCAAGCCUGAUGCAGCCAUGCCGCGUGUAUGAAGAAGGCCUUCGGGUUGUAAAGUACUUUCAGCAGUGAGGAAGGUGGGUAUGUUAAUAGCAUACUCAUUUGACGUUAGCUGCAGAAGAAGCACCGGCUAACUCCGUGCCAGCAGCCGCGGUAAUACGGAGGGUGCGAGCGUUAAUCGGAAUUACUGGGCGUAAAGCGCAUGCAGGUGGUUUGUUAAGUCAGAUGUGAAAGCCCGGGGCUCAACCUCGGAAUUGCAUUUGAAACUGGCAAACUAGAGUACUGUAGAGGGGGUAGAAUUUCAGGUGUAGCGGUGAAAUGCGUAGAGAUCUGAAGGAAUACCGGUGGCGAAGGCGGCCCCCUGGACAGAUACUGACACUCAGAUGCGAAAGCGUGGGGAGCAAACAGGAUUAGAUACCCUGGUAG
rnacentral:rRNA from 1 species